rnacentral:rRNA from 1 species
UACGAAGGGAGCUAGCGUUGUUCGGAAUCACUGGGCGUAAAGCGCACGUAGGCGGAUGUGCCAGUCAGGGGUGAAAUCCCGGAGCUCAACUCCGGAACUGCCUCUGAUACAGCACGUCUUGAGUCCGGAAGAGGUGGGUGGAAUUCCUAGUGUAGAGGUGAAAUUCGUAGAUAUUAGGAAGAACACCGGUGGCGAAGGCGGCCCACUGGUCCGGUACUGACGCUGAGGUGCGAAAGCGUGGGGAGCGAACAGG